CUGAGGGAAUAGCAUCAAUCUGGGAUAGCUAUUUCUCUCCUCUUGAGCUGCUACUGGGCGUUGGAAAGGAGAUUACCGUGCUGUGUUGUAAACCUUGUCAUGAAAUUCUGCAAAGGAGUAGUCUCUCUCUCAGGACAUCAGUACAUCUUCACUGCGCUGAAAGUUCAUCAAAGACUGGCUAUUCAUGCUGUUCUGAGAAGCAAUAAACCUGGACAUUGGACAGAUCUAUCUGACUGACAAAGCCAAGAGAAAUUUGCUGGUCACCUCUGAAGAGCCUGUCAAGGUGCAGAUGUUUAUGGAAGGAUUAGCAGCAUUUCAGCAAUAACUACUGAGGAAGCAAAUGCUUAACGUAUCCAAGAUGGGAAUUUACUACAUUUCUACAGCACUAUUCAAUGGCAUCUUGCAUUUCAUGACAUGGCUGUAAAAGUACAACAUGGCCCCAUCGCUGCUGCACGAAAGGGCAGAUGUGGAUUCUUGGCAGAGCACGCUGACUUCAGCUGUGGUUCCAUGCUGCUCUUCUGUCUGGAUUGACCACCUGGUGGAAGGGAAUUUAAAGUACAAUGCUCACUUGUAUGUCCUCCAAGAAUACAUAGAAAGGAGAGAUUUAUUCAGAGGUGCUCAAAUACUGGCAAGAUGAUAACGGUUUUCUUUAUUCUGUGUUCUGCAGUUCCCUACAAGGGUCAAACAGGCACAAAAAGCAGUUCAAGGACUUAAAAGGUUGUCAACAAAUGAGUUUUUGGUACUUGUCUUAAAUGACACGGAUAUCGGUGUCUUAAAGAAAAAAUCAACCCUGUUACUUCCCUCCAAUAAAAGGAAGAAUGUAAGGAACAUGCUCAUUCUGUACCAUUCUUCUGCUAAUUAGUGGUUUGAAAGAGCUGUGCUUGAGAAGCUCCCUACUGAGCUUACUGAGUUUUAUGUAACAGCCUUAUUAUGUGGUAUUAGCAUUAAAUGCUCAUUUUUCUCUCAUGCCCUCGUAUUGAUAGAUGAAAACCUCCUGUGUGAGCUCCUGCAUUGGCUCAGUUUUAUCUUCCCUUAGCACAAGGUACAAGAGCUUUUUUUUUUUUUUUUUUUAAUGAGCUCAAAGUAAGGAAAAUCUGUUCUGCUUUGCACUAUUUUGGGAUGUAUUUUGUGACUUCAGUAACAGUUAACUGAAACUACCAUGUAGUGUUUUAGCUACUUAUGGGACCCUUCAAAAAGCAAAAUCAAUGAUGUCAUUUCUCCCAUCUUCCCUGCUGUUUUGGAGGAGGCAUGAGGCAGGGGGAUAGAGUAGAAUUAUGAGAGUGGUUUCCAAGAUGGUUUUGUUAGGGUUAGAGCUUGGAGAUACUUGAGAGUUUCUUGGCUUUGAAAAAUGAGCUUAUUGCUUUGUCUGCAACUUUUCACAUGCUUUAUAUUUCCCAGAUAUUUACAUAGUUUUUGAUGUUUAUAUGUAUGGGGGUUGGCUGUAUUAAAUAUUUAAAUUAAUAUGAAGUAGAUAGCUAUCUUUAGCUGUAACUUGCUAAUUGAAUUGUAUGACUAGAAUAUUUAGCUUGAGAUAAUGUAAAUAGUGCAAGACAUGUAUGGUAAUACAGUAGAAAGGCUGAAAUGGCUGAAACUUGCCUUUGUUUCAGUCCUUCGGAUUCUUGUGGUAUUUUCAAUGUGAGCAGUUUGGUUUAACAGAAGCUAUAAAGCAUAUUUGAUAUAUCUACUGUAGGAAGCUAGAAUUAAUAACCUUUUGUAUUUUGUGUUGUUGCUAUAUUUUUUUCUAUAAACAGUCAAUACAGAAACACUACAUAUAAAGAAGAACCUGAAGAUAGCUUGUGUUAUUCUGGGCCCUUGUUUUGUUUUGGCAGUAGGAAGGAGGGGUGAACAUUUCACUGCUGAGCACCUAACACUUUUAUUCCCAAAGAUAACUAGAGAUUCUCCAUUUACAUCCAGGAAUUCCACCAUAUGUCGCUUAGGCGGGCCAUGAGAUUUCAUGGGGGAGAAAGAAUGCUUUCAUCAUGCCCUCAGCUAUUCCUGAAUAGUUAAUAUUAUGCAGAAUAUACCCUAAAAUCUUUCUCAUUCUGGAAGUGUGGUUCAUAGCCACGUCCUGAAUAAGUUUCACAUCUUUCUCUUCAUGUAUCUUUGUGGCAUACUAUGCCUUGUCAACCCCCAUCAGCAGGUGGAAGUUAUUACCUAAAGCCUGUGCUUCGCGCUGCUAAUUCAUAACCAUCUCCUUCAAGUCUUUACAGCCUUCCCAGUUACAUCUGCAGCUGAGUGUAUAAUCUAAGUAAGCUCUUGACUUCUAUCAGUCUGUAAAACAAUUCUAAUUUCACUUCUAAUCACUUGAAAGAUUUGAAUCUGUUUUAGAACAAGUCUUCUACUUCUGAAAUAUUUUCUUACUAUGUCCCAUGCAACAUCUAUGUUGCUGUAAAUUGGUGGUGUUUGCCCUCCAUGUCUGUUGCAAUCAACAGUGCAUCCUAGGUAAAAGGACUGGGUCUGCUCUUGUACACUUCUACCAUUCACUACUUCGAGUAUCCUUCCACAUUGUCUCCAUCCUUCUUCAAAGGCCAUUGUUUAAUCUCACCACUUGUUGUUACUUUAGCGUCUUCAGUUUUCUUUUCCACUCUGAUAUUGGUCCUGUCAUUGGGCUCCAGCUCUGUACAUUCAGCCCAGGAAAUCUCUAGUUUAGAUGCAGUGAUUUUUGACAUUGUUUAGGAGAGGGGUUUAUUCUCAGAAGCUGUUUAGUGUUACUGCAGUAUAAAUGUACAACUUGUCAAGAGCUGGUACAGGAAAUUCUUCAUGUGAAUAAAUUUUGGGAAAAGCUUUGUCUUAUAGGAUUACAAUACAUUCUUUUACAUCUUCCCUUCAGUAUUCGAAAUCUCUGGGAAUUUGAUAUUGAAUGGAAUUACAGGAUCUAAGGACUGCUUUAAAGAGUACUUCUACAUUAAAAAGUUUCAUUGAGUGUGUUCAAACUUUUGGUGCAUGAAU